GGUGGCUCAAUGGUAGAGUGCUUGCCUUACAUACAUGAAGCCCUGGGUUCGAUUCCUCAGCACCA
rnacentral:tRNA from 1 species